rnacentral:rRNA from 1 species
GAUGAACGCUGGCGGCGUGCCUAAUACAUGCAAGUCGAGCGAACAGACGAGGAGCUUGCUCCUCUGACGUUAGCGGCGGACGGGUGAGUAACACGUGGUUAACCUACCUAUAAGACUGGGAUAACUUCGGGAAACCGGAGCUAAUACCGGAUAAUAUAUUGAACCGCAUGGUUCAAUAGUGAAAGACGGUUUUGCUGUCACUUAUAGAUGGAUCCGCGCCGCAUUAGCUAGUUGGUAAGGUAGCGGCUUACCAAGGCAACGAUGCGUAGCCGACCUGAGAGGGUGAUCGGCCACAGUGGAACUGAGAGACGGUCCAGACUCCUACGGGAGGCAGCAGUAGGGAAUCUUGCGCAAAGGGCGAAAGCCUGACGGAGCAACGCCGCGUGAGUGAUGAAGGUCUUCGGAUCGUAAAACUCUGUUAUUAGGGAAGAACAAAUGUGUAAGUAACUAUGCACGUCUUGACGGUACCUAAUCAGAAAGCCACGGCUAACUACGUG